CCUACGGGAGGCAGCAGUGGGGGAUAUUGGACAAUGGGGGGAACCCUGAUCCAGCGACGCCGCGUGAGUGAAGAAGUAUUUCGGUAUGUAAAGCUCUGUCAGCAGGGAAGAAAGAAAUGACGGUACCUGACCAAGAAGCUCCGGCUAACUACGUGCCAGCAGCCGCGGUAAUACGUAGGUGGCAAGCGUUGUCCGGAUUUACUGGGUGUAAAGGGCGUGCAGCCGGAGCGACAAGUCAGAUGUGAAAUCCACGGGCUCAACCCGUCAACUGCAUUUGAAACUGUUUCCCUUGAGUGUCGGAGAGG
rnacentral:rRNA from 1 species